rnacentral:misc_RNA from 1 species
GAUGAAGAACGUAGUGAAAUGCGAUAAGUAAUGUGAAUUGCAGAAUUCAGUGAAUCAUCGAAUCUUUGAACGCACAUUGCGCCCCUUGGUAUUCCGAGGGGCAUGCCUGUUCGAGCGUCAUUAUAACCCUCAAGCUCAGCUUGGUGUUGGGGCCUGCUGCACUGGCAGCCCUUAAAAUCAGUGGCGGCGCCAUCUGGCUCUAAGCGUAGUAAUUCUUCUCGCUAUGGAGUCCUGGUGGAUGCUUGCCAUCAACCCCCAAUUUUUCUAUGGUUGACCUCGGAUCAGGUAGGGAUACCCGCUGAACUUAAGCAUAUCAAUAAGCGGAGGA